rnacentral:rRNA from 1 species
AUCCAUCCAGUGUUUCACGUUUCCCAGCUAAAACCCUUCACUGCCAACUACUCUCCAGUGUUUCAGGAGCUACCAGACCCACCUGAUUUAUUGGUUGUCACUCUCCAACCAGAGGUUGUGCUGGAUCGACGUAUGGCAAAGAAGGGAAACAAUGCUAUUCCACAGAUCAAAGUUCAAUGGCACGGUAUCGCCGCUGAUCAUGCAACCUGGGAAGAUUAUUAUGUGUUGCGCGCUCGUUUUUCGUCAGCUGCAAUUUGGGAGGAGGAUCAAACUCAAGGGAGAAUGUCACGGCUCCAUCUCUAA